UUGGAGGGCAAGUCUGGUGCCAGCAGCCGCGGUAAUUCCAGCUCCAAUAGCGUAUAUUAAAGUUGUUGCAGUUAAAAAGCUCGUAGUUGAAUUUUAGGCCUGGCCGGGCGGUCCGUCUUUGGCGAGUACUGUCUUGUUGUCGGGUCUUCCUUCUGGUGAACCAGUUUGUCCUUUAUUGGGUGUGUUGGGGAGCCAGGACCAUUACCUUGAAAAAAUUAGAGUGUUUAAAGCGGGCUAUUGCUUGAAUAGAUUAGCAUGGAAUAAUAGAAUAGGACGUUGUGGUUCUAUUUUGUUGGUUUCUAGGACCACCGUAAUGAUUAAUAGGGAUAGUUGGGGGCAUUAGUAUUCAAUUGUCAGAGGUGAAAUUCUUGGAUUUAUUGAAGACUAACUAUUGCGAAAGCAUUUGCCAAGGAUGUUUUCAUUAAUCAAGAACGAAAGUUAGGGGAUCGAAGACGAUCAGAUACCGUCGUAGUCUUAACCAUAAACUAUGCCGACUAGGAAUCGGGCGUCGUUAUUUUCACGACUCGCUCGGCGCCUUAUGGGAAACCAAAGUGUUUGGGUUC
rnacentral:rRNA from 1 species